GGGUAACAAGGUUUCCGUAGGUGAACCUGCGGAAGGAUCAUUACCUAGAGUUGCGGGCUUUGCCUGCCAUCUCUUACCCAUGUCUUUUGAGUACCUUCGUUUCCUCGGCGGGUCCGCCCGCCGAUUGGACAAAACUUAAACCCUUUGUAAUUGAAAUCAGCGUCUGAAAAAACUUAAUAGUUACAACUUUCAACAACGGAUCUCUUGGUUCUGGCAUCGAUGAAGAACGCAGCGAAAUGCGAUAAGUAGUGUGAAUUGCAGAAUUCAGUGAAUCAUCGAAUCUUUGAACGCACAUUGCGCCCCUUGGUAUUCCAUGGGGCAUGCCUGUUCGAGCGUCAUUUGUACCUUCAAGCUCUGCUUGGUGUUGGGUGUUUGUCUCGCCUCUGCGCGCAGACUCGCCUCAAAACAAUUGGCAGCCGGCGUAUUGAUUUCGGAGCGCAGUACAUCUCGCGCUUUGCACUCAUAACGACGACGUCCAAAAAGUACAUUUUUUUACACUCUUGACCUCGGAUCAGGUAGGGAUACCCGC
rnacentral:rRNA from 1 species